GAUGAACGCUGGCGGCGUGCCUAAUACAUGCAAGUCGAGCGAACAGACGAGGAGCUUGCUCCUCUGACGUUAGCGGCGGACGGGUGAGUAACACGUGGAUAACCUACCUAUAAGACUGGGAUAACUUCGGGAAACCGGAGCUAAUACCGGAUAAUAUAUUGAACCGCAUGGUUCAAUAGUGAAAGACGGUUUUGCUGUCACUUAUAGAUGGAUCCGCGCCGCAUUAGCUAGUUGGUAAGGUAACGGCUUACCAUGGCAACGAUGCGUAGGCGACCUGAGAGGGUGACGGGCCACAGUGGAACUGAGACGCGGUCCAGACUCCUAGGAGGGGCAGCUGUAGAAAAUUGGCCGCAGGGGGCGAAAGCCGGACGGCGCAGCGCCGCGUGAGUAAUAAAUGUUCGCGGAUCGAAAAACUCUGUUAUUAGGGAAAAACAAAUGUGUAAGUAACUAUGCACGUCUAGACGGUACAUAAACAGAAAGCCGGGGCAAACUACG
rnacentral:rRNA from 1 species